rnacentral:misc_RNA from 1 species
GAUACAGUAAGCUGUGAUUGGUGGGUGUGAUUUAGUGGAUGGAACAUGGCUGGGCUCUACACUGUGGAAGGAUGCUGGAGACCUGUAUGGCAUGUGUGUGUGGUGUGUUCUACCAUGUGACUGCAUAAUGAACAAAUGUCUUUAUACAACACACAGAAUGGUGGUCAUCUCUCUAACUCUCUCUAUCUCUCUCCCAUACCUUGGUUCUCUGUGAUAUUUAACUGACUGUUUCCUAGUCUAUUAGUCUGUUAAGCAAUUUCAAUCAUCCAGAAGUCUAGUGCUAUGUGUUCAUACAGAGGGAGAUAACAUUGCACAAAUGUGAAUUAUCAGCGUUGCUGAUUUCUGAUCAUGACUGAUUUUAUCCUUAAAUAACAAUUCAAAAAGGAAAUGUCAAUUUGAAUUGACCAAUAUUUUCAUUUUUCAUGUAUGUUUAAGCUAUUUUUCUGUCAAAAAUCAAAUCUAAAUUAACAUUCCUUAUGAAAUAUUGGUCUUGUUUUUUUUAACACACUGUCAAGCUAUUUACUGUAAAAUUGUGUCAGAAGAAGUUAUCUGUUUUCAGAUAAUGAAUACAGAUUAUGAUUGAAUAUAUUUUUUGCAGAAUUAAAUUCAAGAGGAUGUUUGGACAAUUAUAAAGAAAAGUUAGUUGGUAUGAUAUGUGUAGACAUCGAGGUACAUGCGUGUGGUAUACACUUAUGCUUCUGUUUACAAAAAAGUGAAAAAAGAUAGGGGCCAUUAUUUUUCUCCAUUGUCUUCCAUCAGAGUAAUAGCUUUAGUUCGCAAAAUAAGUUAUGAACUACACAGGAAACCAGUACAUUCCUGAAGGCUUCACCUGCCUUAGAAUUUUAUAUACACUGGUCAUGGAUCAAAUCCCAAUCAAAUGUGAUAUGAAUGAUUUCAGUCUCGGUCUUAAAAAAAAGGGAUGUUGAGUCAGGUGUAUGUGGAAAAUUGAACUAGUUGUAAAUGCACUAGUGGUUGUACAUUUUUACAAGAUUAUGUAUAUUUUUAAAGCAUCCUUUAAAUGACUGGGAUUUCUGUAUUAUUUUGUUAGAUAGAAUAUAAAAACAGAAACCCUGCUGCAUGGGCAAGUAUUCCAUUUCCUUGAUCUAUUUAUUAUUUUUUUCUGCAUGAAAUGACCUAAUAUCGCAGUGCAACAAGGCAGCAUUUUACUGGAUAAAAUUGUUUCAUCAUCCGAGUGUUAAAUCUACAAAAUGCAGUCACAGAAGAUAUUGUAGCUAAGAAUUUGAUCUAGUAUGUGUAAGACGUGGUGCAAUUCUUGUCAUUUUUACCCUUGGUUCUGUAGCCUCUGUAGAACAUGGCUGGAAGCAGGAGUGGAAUGGUAUUAAGCGAACAAUGAUGAGAAUGUAUAUAAUACAGAUUUUAAGUUAUUUAACGACAAGCGGCCAAUGCAGCUAACUUGUCAUACUUCAUGGUUUUCUUGCAUCGUCUUCUUUUGUAUAUAUGGUAUGAUGCUAGUUCAUUUGAUGACAAAAUGUAUUUAACUGCAAACCCCCAAACCUGCAUUUUAUUCUUGUCAAUGUUUUAGCAUUGUAAAAAGUCAGUCAUGUUAAAUUCAAAUGAUAUAUUAAAAGAAAAAAAAUGAAAAUGAAUAAAAAAUACAAACUAU